rnacentral:rRNA from 1 species
UACGUAGGCAGCGAGCGUUGUUCGGAGUUACUGGGCGUAAAGGGCGCGUAGGCGGCGCGGGAAGUCAACGGUGAAAGCUUGGGGCUCAACUCCGAGUCGGCCGUCGAUACUCCCGUGCUCGAGCACUGUAGAGGCAGAUGGAAUUCCGGGUGUAGCGGUGGAAUGCGUAGAGAUCCGGAAGAACACCGGUGGCGAAGGCGGUCUGCUGGGCAGUUGCUGACGCUGAUGCGCGACAGCGUGGGGAGCAAACAGG